UAGAAGUUUCUCUCCGCGGAGGAGUGUUAUGACACCAAUCUUUGCAGCUUUGAUCCAGUUCUUGAUCAUAUGCUCGAGCACGUCCCAGUCCAUUCUGUUGAACCGGGAGAUCUUGCACUUUUCGAUACCAAGUAAGUGUAGCCCUUCAUCUACAAUUGACUUUCUGAUCAACUUAUAGCUCUUUAUGCACUCUUUACCAUAUCCACAGCUGAUCAUAGUCUCUGCUAUGACCUUGAGGUCUGACAUCACAAGUGCUGCAGCUUUUUCGACCUUAGUGAUCGUUUCACCAGCCUUCUUCAGCUCAUCUUCUUCUUCAUCAUCAGAAGAUUGCAUAACAUCUUCAAAUUCUGAAUUGCUUGAAAUGGAG
rnacentral:lncRNA from 1 species